rnacentral:ncRNA from 1 species
AUAAAGUUUUAUUUUAGCUAAGUAAUUUAUUAAUUAUAUAUUUUACAUGUAAAUUUUUGUAUGAUUAAUAUUUUAUCUUAAUGAUAUAAUAUUUUUUUUAAUCGCAGUAUUUUAUUUUAUUAAUUAAAGAAAUUUAGAAUUAGUAAUAAAUUUAAAUAUGGGUUAAUUUUGUGCCAGCUUCCGCGGUUAUACAAAAUAUAUGAAUAAAUUUUUUUAUUUUAUAGUUAAAUUAAAGUUAUAAAUGAAUAAUUUAUUUUAAAGGUGAAAUUUGUAUAAAUUAUAUAAAUUUAUUUAUUUAUUUUUUGAAGCUAUUAAAUUUUAUUAAUAAACUAGGAUUAGAUACCCUAUUAUUUAAAAUGUAAAAAUAAGAAAAAAAAUUAGGUAGUAAUAGUUAUAAACUUGAAACUUAAAAAAUUUGGCGGUAUUUUAGUCUUUUUAGAGGAACCUGUUCUAUAAUCGAUAAUCCACGAUAAAUUUUACAUAAUUUAAUUUAAUUUGUAUAUCGUCGUUAUAAGAAAAUUUUAUAAGAAAAAAAAUUUUCUAAAAAUUUAAUUAAAUUUUAUUUCAGAUCAAGGUGCAAUAUAUAAUUAUGAAGAAAUGGGUUACAAUAAAAAAAUUUAAGUUGGAUAAUAAUUUGAAUUAAUUAUUAGAAAUUGGAUUUAAAAGUAAUUGAAAUUAUAAAAUUUUUUUGAUUUUAGCUCUAAAAUAUGCACAUAUCGCCCGUCACUCUCUUCAGUUUAAUUAAAAAGAGAUAAGUCGUAACAAAGUAAGUGUACUGGAAAGUGUACUUAGAAUGAC